AUGUAUGUGCUGUGCACACUGGUGUUGCUGUCUCUCCACAACCUGUUUAAGAGACCCAAGGUCCAGGAACCCUCUGAACCCAAGGCUAUCGAGGGUCCCGAGCAGCAAAGACCAGAUGUAACCAAACUGGGACAUAAGAAGAGGAACAAGCACCACUUGAGUGAAGGCUCUGGACCACUAGAGACCUCCAGAGUGUCUGGACAGCAUGACUCUGAAAGAUGCUUGGAUGGACCCAGCAAAGCAAGUAAAAGAAGAUCCGUGCACAUGGAUAAUGUGCAUGAGAGGAGGAAGAGAGCACAGCCGGUCCAGCGGUGUGGUCUGCUUGGCCCUGCGGUCAUGUACGGUACACGAAAGACCUGGGACGUCGGCCACACCCCCUGCCUGCAGGAGCUCUGGAACAAAGACCUCUCAUUGGAUGUUUCAGCGAGUUCCCUGGAUAUCCUAAUGAGUGAUGGUGAGGAGGAGAGCUCCUUCCUCUCGUUGCCCAACUCUGUCCUUCAGCGCCACUGUUUGACCUCUGACCUCUCUGAAACCGCCACCUCAGAACAGCAGCAGCUGCUCAUACAGGUGUGACCCUAUAAUACUACUCUAGUAUUAACCUGGGCAAUUAAUAUUACAAUUAUUAAGGGAAGCAUCACUGUUACAACUGCUUAUAACUGGGUUUAGGGAUUUACUGCAACACAUUAUUUUCAGAUUAUGUAUAGUAAAAUAUUUACAAGGUUUUUUUUUUUUAUACUUUUAUUUAGCAAGUAUGCAUUAAUAUGAUCAAAAGUGAAAGUAAAGACCUAUAUAAUGUUAAAAUAUUUUUUAUUCCAAAUAAAUGCCUUUUUUUUUCUUUUUUUACUUUCUAU
ensembl:lncRNA